rnacentral:rRNA from 1 species
UACGGAGGGAGCUAGCGUUAUUCGGAAUUACUGGGCGUAAAGCGCACGUAGGCGGCUUUGUAAGUUAGAGGUGAAAGCCCAGGGCUUAACCCUGGAAUUGCCUUUAAGACUGCAUCGCUAGAAUCGUGGAGAGGUGAGUGGAAUUCCGAGUGUAGAGGUGAAAUUCGUGGAUAUUCGGAAGAACACCAGUGGCGAAGGCGACUCACUGGACACGUAUUGACGCUGAGGUGCGAAAGCGUGGGGAGCAAACAGG